CGCGCAGAGGAUCUGCCGGCUGCCAGAGAAGUGCAGAACGUGCCUCCGAGGAAAGGAUCCGCUCACCUGACCUGGCAUCCUCCUCUCGUUCAAAACCGAGAUCCAGGUGGCGAAGGGAGCGAUGGGUGGCCCCGAGACCCGCCUUGGCUUCCUGGUCCUGCCUCUGAUUGUCUGCUUCAGCGGGACGCCCGGCGACGCUCACUCUCUGUCCUAUAACUUCACCAUCGAUCCUCAGCCCAGACCUGGACAGCUGUGGUGUAACGUUGAAGGCGACGUGGACAGAGAGGUUUUUCUCUCCUAUGAUUGUGGUCAUGGUAAGAUCAUAUUCACAAGUCCAUUGGGAGAAGAAGUGAAAACCAUGAAGUCCUGGGAAACACAGAUCGAAACACUCAGAGACAUCAGGGACCACCUGUGUGACUUUACACUGGAGAAACCCACGGUCACGGACCCUCUCACCCUGCAGGCCCUGAUGACAUGUCACUGUGAGGAUGACAGAAACAUCAGUGGAUCCUGGCAGUUUGGCUUGAAUGGACUAAUGAGCCUCCACUUUGAUUCGGAGAAUGGACACUGGAGAGUGGAUCACCCUGGAGGCAGAUGGAUGAAAGAGAAGUGGGAGAAUGACAGAGCUGUGACCGACUUCCUGAAGAAGGUCUCCAUGGGAGACUGUGGGUCCUGGCUUCAGGAUUUCAUGGGGUGCUGGGAGAAAAUGUUGAAGACCUCGGGAGAUGGUGCUUCCAGGAAGCCACAACAGGUGCUCUUGUUGGCCUCAUGGAACAGUCUUUCCUUGGCCGCCAUUGUUCUCCAUCUGUUCACUUUAGAGCCAGGAGACCAGAGUGAGUAGUUCUGAGCCUGCCUUCCAGUUACGAUGACGCAGGAUCUGCACUGUCUUAUGACUCUGGUCACAUCUGUAUCCUGAUAAACUGAAUCCAAAGAUAUAUUCUGGAAGUUAUGCAAUGAAAACCUUUUUUGUUUCAUCGAGAUCUGCACCCUCAGUGGUGACUCUCCUGUGUUGCUCUAUGCCUCCACCUCUCAAAGGAGAAACCAGACUUCACCGCACAAACUAUGUCUGUUUUGAAAAGUAGAUUUAUUUCUCCAUAGACAGAGGAUCAUAUUCCGAAUAGAGAAUGAAGUACUACAAAUAAAUAAUAUAAAUUAUAAUUUUUUUGGCCACUGCUUGAGCUGUUCACAUAUGGUGAAUUGUUCAGUCGCUAAGUCAUGUCCAACUCUGUGACCCCAUGGACACACGCCAGGCUUCCCUGUCUCUCACUAUCUCCCGGAGUUUGCUCAAACUCAUGUCCAUUGAGUCAGUGAUGCCAUCCAACCAUCUCAUCCUCUGUUGCCCCAUUCUCCUCCUGCCCUCAAUCUAUGCCAUCAUCACGAACUUUUCCAAUGACUAGGCUCUUCACAUCAGGAAGGCAAAGUACUGGAGUUUCAUCAUCAUCAUCAGUCCUUCCAAUGAAUAUUCAGGGUUGAUUUCCUUUAGGAUUGACUGGUUUGCUCUCCUUGCAGUCCAAGCGACUCUCAAGAGUCUUAUCUAACACCACAAUUCAAAAGCAUCAGUUCUUCAGCACUCAGCCUUCUUUAUGGUCCAACUCUCACAUAAGUGCAUCCCUAGUGGCAAAUCCAUAGCUUUGACCGGACAGACCUUUAUUGGCAAAGUGAUGUCUUUGCAUUGCAAGUCCUACUCAGCAUCUUUCUUUUUUCUUCUCAAACCAAUUUUACCACUUGACCUUGAUGCUCAGUUUUGCUUUCUUAUCAUGCAUGUGUUCACUGGAGGAGGACUUUUGAUUUCCUUUAAGUACUUUUCCUUUGCAUUCACAAUUUGACCAACUGUUUGAUAGGAAAGGCUUCUGUUAGGUCUUUGCCGGUUCUGUCUUUUAUUGUGUCCAUCUUUAAAUGAAAUGUUCCCUUGGUAUCUUGAAUUUUCUUGAGGAGAUCUCUAGGCUUUCCCUUUCUGUUUUUUUCCUCUAUUUGCAUUGAUCAUCUAGGAAGCCUCAUCUUACCUCUCCUUGCUAUUCUUGGGAAUUCUGCAUUCAGAUGGGUAGAUCUUUCCUUCUUUCCUUUGCCUUUCACGUCUCUUCUUUUCUCAGCUAUUUGUAAGACGACCUCAGAAAUCAUUUUGUCUUCUUGCGUCUCUUUUUCUUGGGGAUGGUUUUGGUCAACACCUGCUGUAAAAUGUCACGAACCUCCUUCCAUAGUUCUUCAGGAACUCUGUGUACAACAUAUAAUCCCUUAAAUCUAUUUGUCACUUCUACUGUAUAACAUAAGAGAUUUGAUUUAGGUCAUAGCUGAAUGGCCUAAUGGUUUUUCCUACUUUCUUCAAUUUAAGUCUGAAUUUUACAGUAAGGACCUCAUGACCUAAGCAACAGUCAGCUCCCAGUCUUGCAUUUGCUGACUGUAUAGAGGUUCUCCACCUUUGGCUACGAGGAAUAUAAUCUGUCUGAUUUCAAUAUUGACCAUCUGGUAAUGUCCAUGUGUAGAGUCUUCUCUUGUUUUGUUGGAAGAGUGUUUUUGCUCUGGCUAGUGUGUACUCUUGACAAAACUCAAAAUAGCUUUUUCCUGCCUUCAUUUUGUACUCCAAGGCCAAACUUGCCUGUUACUCCUGGAAUCUCUUGACUUCCUACCUUUACAUUCCAAUCCCCUAUGAUGAAAAGGACAUCUUUUGGGGUGUUAGUUCUAGAAGGUCAUGUAGGUGUUCAUAGAACUGUAAACCUGUGAAAAGAUUGAACAUAUCCUGAAUAAUCAACCUGACAAAAAAAUUGCCGGGAUAUCCUCAUAUAUUCAAAUAACUGACAGAUUUUAAAAUAAAUCAGGAUCAAGUGGUACAGAAAAUGCAAUAACAGGAGUUUCCUUACAUUGUUUGUAGGAGUAAAACUGAAUCCUGUCUUGAGAUGUAUGCUUCAGUGUAUCUCAACAGUAGAUCGUUUGUCCAUCUUACUACACAACCAACUCAAUGUUAGUUCCAGAUGGAAAAUGUAGACCAAAAGCCAUGUAGAUAUAGCAAAACCUCAGCGAUAGUCCAGGCUGUGUUCCAGACCAGGGCAGCAAAUUGAAUAUCAUAAUAUAGUGAAUCACUCAAAUUUUUCAUUUCCCACUUUGUAUAUAGUUUAAUUGACACUGUCCAUCAUCUGUUACAUGUGCAAUAGUUUUACGACUAAAUAAAUAAUAUACAGAAUUUCAUUAACAGCACUUUGUUUCUAAAAUAAAGUAGUUUGAACAUCAUCUCUGCCUUCACAAGUCUAAAUCUUUUUGCUGGUGGAGGGUCUUGUCUCAGUGUCCGUGGCUGCUGACUGAUCAGGGUGGUGGUUGCUGAAGGUUGGGGUGAGCAGGACAAUUUCUGAAAAGAAGACAACAAUGAACUUUGCCACAUCCUUCGACUCUUCGAUUCACAGAUUUCUCUGGAGCAUACAGUGCUCUUAAACAGUGUUUUUACCCACAGCAGAAGUUCUUUGAAAGCUGGAGUUAACACUCUGCAGCCUGCUGCUGCUUUUUUCAACUACCUUUAUGUUAUAUUCUAAAUCCUUUGUUGUCAUUUCAGUAAACUUCAUAGCUUCUUCAUGAAGAGCAGUUUCUCUCUCAAGAAACCACUUUCUUUGCUCAUGCAUAAGAAUGAACCCUCAUUCAUUUCAGCUUUUUGAUGCAAUUGCAGCAAUUCAGCCACAUCUUCAGGCUCCACUUCUAACUCUAGCUUCCUUGUUAUUUCCACUACAUCUGCACUACUUUCUCCAGUGAAUUCUUGAAUUCCUCAAAGUCAUCUGUGAAGGUAGAAAUCUACUUCUCCCAUACUUGCAUUAAUGUUGAUAUUUCAACCUAUUCCCAUGACUCACUGUUUUCAGUAGAUUCUAUAAUCAUGAAUCCAAUGUAAAUGGACUUCUCUGGUGGCCCAGUGAUGAAGAAUCUACCUUCCAAUGCAAGGAAUGAUGGCUUGAUACCUGUUCAGAGAACUACCUGUUCAGAGGACUAAGAUCCCACAUGUCGCCAAACAGCUAAGCCCACGUGUUGCAACUAGACAACACCAGGCAACACCACUAGAGAGUCUGUGUGCUGUGAUGAAGGAUCCUGCAUGACCCAACAGAGAUCCCACAUGCCUCAAUUAAGACCAAUGCAACCAAAAAAAUUAAUUAGCAAAUGUUUUUUAAAAAGACUACAUCGUUUUUUUAAAAAAUGAAUUCAGUGCAGAAAUUUUUCAGUUGCCUUUGCCCAGAUCCAACAGAGGAAUAACUGUCUACGCAGCUAUAGCCUAUAAUGUACUUCCUAAAUACUAUGAGUUGAAUAUCAUAGUUAUUCCAUGAUCCAUGAGCUUCGGAAUGGAUGUUGUGUUGGCAGCCAUGAAAAUAACAUGAACCUCAUUGUACUUCUCCAUCACAUUCUUGAAUGCUUUGUCAAUCAGCAGUAAUAUUUUGAAAGGACUCUUUCUGAGCAGUUGGUCUCAACACUGGACUUAAAACACUUGGCCACCAAUGUUGUAAACAGAUAUUCUGUCAUCCAGGCUUCAUUGUUUCAUUUACGGAGCACAGGCAGAACAGAUUCAGCCUAAUUCUAAAGGGCUUUAGAAUUUUCCUUUUUUUUUUUUUUUUUUAGUCCCAUAUAUUUUUUUUUUCAUUUUUAAAAAAUUUAAAUUAGUUGUUUAUUUUACUUUACAACAUUGUAUUGGUUUUGCCAUACAUUGACUUGAAUCCGCCAUGGGUGUACAUGUGUUUCCCACCCCACCCCUCAGGGUCAUCCCAGUGCACCAGCCCCGAGCAUCCUGUAUCAUGCAUCGAACCUGGACUGGCAAUUCAUUUCACAUAUGAUAAUUUACAUGUUUCAAGGCCAUUCUCCCAUAUCAUCUCACCCUCGCCCUCUCCCACAGAGUUCAAUACAUCUGUGUCUCUCUUGCUGUCUCGCAUACAGGGUUAUCAUUACCAUCUUUCUAAAUUCCAUAUAUAUGCAUUAGUAUACUGUAUUGCUGUUUUUCUGACUUACUUCACUCUGUAUAGAAUUUUCCAAGUGGCAAGUGACCAUUGACUUCCAGUAAUCUGCUGCAUUAGCCCUUAUCAAGAGAAUCAGCCUGUUCUUGGAAUCUUUGAAGCCAGGCACUGACUACUCCUUUCCAGGUAUCAAAGUCCUGGCAGGCAUCUUCUUCCAAUAGAUGGAUAUUUUGUCUACACUGGAAAUCUCUGAUUCAGUGGAGCCACCUUCAUAGAUUAUCCUCGCUAAAUCUUUUGGAAAACUUGCAGUAGCUUCUACAUCAGGUCUAGUUACUACACUCGGCCCUUUACGUUAUGGAGAUGGCUUCUUUCCUUAAACUUCAUAAACCACCCCCUGAUGGCUUCAAAUUUUUCUUCUGCAAGUUUCUCACCUCUCUCAGCCUUCAUAGAAAUGAAGAGUUACAGCUUUGAUCUGGAUUAGGCUUUGCCUUCAGAAAACGUUGUGGCUGGUUGAAUCUUCUAUCCAAACCCAUAAAACUUUCUUCAUAUCAGCAAUAAGGAUGUUUUGCAUUCUCAGAAAGAGACUCACAGACUUAGUUAGAGAACAAACUUCUAGUUGCUGGGGGUAGGAUGGGGGAAAGAGGUCAUUAGGGAGGAUGGAAAGUUCAUGUAUACCCUGCUCUAUUUAAAAUGGAGAGCCUAAGACAUGGUGUGUCUGUGUGUGUACCUUUCUGUGUGUGUCCAACUGUCUCUGUCCUCAUGGACUGUAGCCUGCCAGCUCCUCUGUCCAUGGAAUUUUCCAGCCAAGAAUACUGGAGUGGGUUCCUCUUUCCUUCUCCAGGAUCUUCCCAGCCCAAGGAAUGAACCCACAACUCUGCUCAAUGUUAUGUGACUGCCCUGUCAGGAUGGGAGUGUAGGGAGAAUGGAUACAUGUAUGUGUACGGGUGAGUCCCUUAGCUGUUCACCUGAGACUAUCCCAACACUGUUUGUAAAUCAGCUAGACCCAAUCCAAAAUAAAAGGGUUUUUAAAAAUAGACUGUUUUUUAGUUGGAGUAGUUGAAGCUAUUCUGGGAAAAAGAUAGAAAGAAAUGAAAAACCCAACAGGACUUUUUGAAGAGCCCAGAGCAAAAGCAACAUGCCUCACAUGCACCCAGCACACAACACCACCUAAGGGUUCAGCCAGUCACCUAAGCCACCCCUCUGACUGACCCCUGGAAACACCCCUCCCCUCACCCCACAGAAGGAACCAGCUCACCCCACCACCUUGGGGAGUGAGCAAGCAAGGAACCUGUCAUUUGUUCUCACUCCCCUCUGCUGCAGCAGGAGCCCCAAUAAAGCCUUGCCUCAAUUUCUUUUGAUUAAAAAAUUUAAUUUAUUUCUAUUGUCUUUCCUCUUUAGAUUUCUAUUGAUUAAGGAGGCCAAGAGCCUGGUGUGUAACAAUUUGGGGACAGAGACACAUGGGGGCUGGGAAGAGGACAGGACUCAGACUUGGGUUCCGGCCUCAGUCAGAAAACUCUUUCUAAUGAGCACUUACUUUGGCCCACAAAAGGUCUAGGACUACUCUGGGACAGAAACUACUAGAAAAUAUAUUGCUGAUGACAUGGCAGUU